GAUAAACGCUAGCGGCAGGCUUAACACAUGCAAGUCGAGGGGCAGCAUAGAUUGUAGCAAUACAAUUGGUGGCGACCGGCGCACGGGUGCGUAACGCGUAUGCAACCUACCCGUCACAGGGGGAUAAUCCGGAGAAAUCUGGUCUAAUACCCCAUAACAUAUGGAUCGGCAUCGGUUCAUGUUGAAAUUUUCGGAGGUGACGGAUGGGCAUGCGUAGCAUUAGCUUGUUGGUGAGGUAACGGCUCACCAAGGCGACGAUGCUUAGGGGGACUGAGAGGUUUUCCCCCCACACAGGAACUGAGACACGGACCGGACUACUACGGGAGGCAGCAUUGAGGAAUAUUGGUCAAUGGGCGCAAGCCUGAACCAGCCAUGCCGCGUGCAGGAUGACGGCUCUAUGAGUUGUAAACUGCUUUUGUACGAGGGUAAAGUGGGUUACGUGUAACCUUUUGAAAGUAUCGUACGAAUAAGGAUCGGCUAACUCCGUGCCAGCAGCCGCCGUAA
rnacentral:rRNA from 1 species